ensembl:lncRNA PARAIL palmitic acid regulated anti-inflammatory lncRNA
CGGCUGGGGGCUUUAUUAGGGGGCACCGGGGUCUGCUUUCCGACUCCCUUCCGACUCCGCGCCUGCGCAGGAAGCGAUUUGGGGAGUGUUGUGAAUUCCGAGGGCUCCACACUUAAGAGGUUGUACACUCACCUGUCUACCUGGACUCCAAUUUCCAUAUUUCCAGCCACUUGAGGACUGAGAGGUGGAUGAUAAACCCUGUCAUAGUGGAGCAAGUUCAGGUGUUUAACCGCUGUUAUGGGGGAUCUGCCUUUUCUCCCUCUUCUUUCUUACUUCCAUAAGUAUGUAUGUGCAGAGAUUGAAAAAUAACCUUGAGAGAGUCCAUCCAUCUAACUCCAGUUCAUUGGAAAUUUCUGCUUCUUUGAGACUGAGGUUAUAUUCCACUUCUUCUGACUACACCACCACCAUCAAUCUCCUUCUCUGAACUCUUGGAUCAUUACUUCAACCUGAAACAACUCAUCAGGCAGAAUAGUUGCCUACUGCCCCAACCCCACCAAAUGUUCCAGCACCUCUGAUAUUACCUCACAUGGCAAGAGGGCUUUGAAGAUGUGAUUGAGUCAAGGAUCUUGAAUGGGGAGAUUAUCCUGAAUUAUUCAGCUGGACCCAGUGUAAUCACAAAGGUUUUUCAAAGAUGGAAGAGAGGCAGAAGAGCCAGAAAAGGAUAUGUGACAAUGGAGUCAGUGUCAGAGUUGGAGUGACGUGAUGUGAGAAGGAUUCAACCUGCUGUUUCUGGCUUUGAGGAUGAAAGAAGGGGCCAUGAGCCAAGCAAUACAGGUGGCUUCUUUCAAGAAGUUGGAAAAGUGGUAAUAUUUUAUGUUAUUUUGGUUUGAUUUUUGUUUGUGGCAUAUGGCUCUGCUGUCCUGUGACUCUAAGUAGAAGAGAAAAUAGUGCCAAUAAUUCUUCAUGGAGAUGCACCUCUCUCAAGUCUUGAACAAUGUUUGAGGAGGAAAGACCAAAAAAGGAUAAAACACACCAAAGUUUGUUCAAUCCAGCCAGUCCCCAGCAAAGCCCUAAAAUAAUGAAUUUAUUUUCUGGAAACAUUGCAGCGUUAUAAGAGAAAUUAUAGACUAUUUGUUGAAGCUCAGCAUGUCCAUCUCCCUGCUUUGAAGAAGGAUGUUGGGAACUGACUGUAAGGAAGACAGGAUUGGAGAACCAGGUUUAGAAGAGAAAAGGCAGUGCCAGAAGUUUUUGAUUGGAGAAAACUACAGGGUAAUGUUGCACAAGAACCAUUGCUGGACUGCAUCAUUGCUUACCCAACAUGACUCAGCCUCGGUAUUGCCACUGACUCACGGAGCUCCUAAUAGAGGAGAAUUAGUGUCACAGAUCGACUGGAAAACCAAUCCACAUGAAGCCAGGAAGAGAAAUGAAGCUGCUGUUGCUGAAUCCAUAGCUGGCCUUAAUGAUGCUGGCUAGGAAAGACGGCCCAUUCUGGGGGAGAUAAGUCAAUUUUGCAGUGUCUGUUAUUAUCAUAGUGACUAUUGUCUUCCUGUUUUAUAUUUAUUUACCUAAAUUGUUUUGGAAAGACUCAGAGGUAUAGAGACAUGCCUACUUUUUGCAAAAAUCAUCACACUGUCAUGGAGGUAGUCCAGGCUAUGGGGCUCUUAUUUGUUGGUGUCUUGGGCAAGUUGCUUGACCUCUGAUCAUUGUUUGCUUAUUCUUAUAUGGCCCCUGUAUUUCAGACUCACUCUGUGUCAGGCAUUUGUUUACCUUUGUAGCAAGCUCAGGAGGAAAAUACCAUUGCCCUUGUUUUACAGGUGAUGAAACUGUACGUUUUCCAAGGACACAGUGCUAGUAUGAAUGAAUAAUAAUGGGGUUGUCUAUGAAGAGGAGAGAAUGAAAAAGCUCAGCUUACCAAGAUGAAUGCUCCUCUGAUCUUGUCUUGAUGGGCUAAAGCCUUGAAGAUUGCUAUUGGGAAACUUGACCCAGUUGGCUGCCAAAGGACAACACAUCAGGCUGCAGAUCAUCAAACAGGGUUCUGAGCUGCAUCCCCUGGGGCAUCCCCUAGUGCACAAAACAAUAAAAAUCAAGGAGGACAGAU